ensembl:lncRNA
UAUAUAUGGUCCCUGCAUAUAUGCAUAUACAGUACAUAUAGGCUCCCUGCAUAUAUGUAUAGAGAGUAUAUAUCGGCCACCUGCAUAUAUGUAUAUAUAGUACAUAUAGGCUCCCUGCAUAUAUGUAUAUACAGUACAUAUAGGCUCCCUGCAUAUAUGUAUAUACAGUACAUAUAGGCUCCCUGCAUAUAUGUAUAGAGAGUAUAUAUCGGCCACCUGCAUAUAUGUAUAUAUAGGCUCCCUGCAUAUAUGUAUAUAUAGGUUCCCUGCAUAUAUGUAUAUACAGUACAUAUAGGCUCCCUGCAUAUAUGUAUAUAUAAUAUAUAGGCUCCCUGCAUAUAUGUAUAUAUAGUAUAUAUAGGCUCCCUGCAUAUAUGUAUAUAUAGUAUAUAUAGGCUCCCUGCAUAUAUGUAUAUACAGUAUAUAGGCUCCCUGCAUAUAUGUAUAUACAGUAUAUAUAGGCUCCCUGCAUAUAUGUAUAUAUAAUAUAUAGGCUCCCUGCAUAUAUGUAUAUAUAGUAUAUAUAGGCUCCCUGCAUAUAUGUAUAUACAGUAUAUAGGCUCCCUGCAUAUAUGUAUAUACAGUAUAUAUAGGCUCCCUGCAUUUGUGUUAUGUAUUGUGUGUACAGAUAUGUACAUAUGUUUUAAUGUUUUUCUAUAACGGAGACAAGUGUAAAAGCUUGUUCAGCGUGUGUAUUUUACUCAUCAGGCGUUUUCUCGGUCAACGACCAAAUUGAUAUUUCAAAAGCUGGUCACACAAUUUCAAGACUGCAUUUGACCUUUUACCAAACAAACCAUGAAUCAUCUUGGAGUGUCUGCUGCGCUCUGUGAGGUCAUUAUCGCGGGGUUAAUAUGGGACUGCGUCUUGGGUCGAUGGGGAUUGCAAAGUGCCAAUUAUCACGGAACAUAUAACACUUCAUCCAAUUAGUCUUUUUUCCUGCAAUAGUUAACGU